rnacentral:rRNA from 1 species
GAAUAAGCCCCGGCUAAUUCCGUGCCGGCAGCCGCGGUAAUAAUGAGGGGGCAAGCGUUAUCCGGAUUUAUUGGGUUUAAAGGGUCCGUAGGCGGAUGUGUAAGUCAGUGGUGGAAUUUUCCCAGCUUAAUUGUGAAACUGCCAUCGAUACUGCAUGUCUUGAGUGUUGUUGAAGUAGCUGGAAUAAGUAGUGUAGCGGUGAAAUGCAUAGAUAUUAUUUAGAACACCAAUUGCGAAGGCAGGUUACUAAGCAACAACUGACGCUGAUGGACGAAAGCGUGGGGAGCGAACAGGAUUAGAUACCCUGGUAGUCCACGCCGUAAUCGAUGCUAACUCGUUUUUGGAUUUUCGGAUUCAGAGACUAAGCGAAAGUGAUAAGUUAGCCACCUGGGGAGUACGUUCGCAAGAAUGAAACUCAAAGGAAUUGACGGGGGCCCGCACAAGCGGUGGAUUAUGUGGUUUAAUUCGAUGAUACGCGAGGAACCUUACCAAGGCUUAAAUGGGAAAUGACAGGUUUAGAAAUAGACUUUUCUUCGGACAUUUUUCAAGGUGCUGCAUGGUUGUCGUCAGCUCGUGCCGUGAGGUGUUAGGUUAAGUCCUGUAUGGAGACCUACCCCUGACAUUAGUUGACAUCAUUAAUUUACCGUCUGUA